GACGAACGCUGGCGGCGUGCUUAACACAUGCAAGUCGAACGGAAAGGCCCUGCUUUUGUGGGGUGCUCGAGUGGCGAACGGGUGAGUAACACGUGAGUAACCUGCCCUUGACUUUGGGAUAACUUCAGGAAACUGGGGCUAAUACCGGAUAGGAGCUCCUGCUGCAUGGUGGGGGUUGGAAAGUUUCGGCGGUUGGGGAUGGACUCGCGGCUUAUCAGCUUGUUGGUGGGGUAGUGGCUUACCAAGGCUUUGACGGGUAGCCGGCCUGAGAGGGUGACCGGCCACAUUGGGACUGAGAUACGGCCCAGACUCCUACGGGGGGCAGGAGUGGGGAAUAUUGCACAAUGGGCGGAAGCCUGAGGCAGCAACGCCGGGGGGGGGAUGACGGCCUUGGGGUUGUAAACCGCUUUCGCCGGGGACGAAGGGGGAGUGACGGUAAGGGGUAAAGAAGCACCGGCUAACUACGU
rnacentral:rRNA from 1 species